UUAAUAAAUGUAUAUCGACGCUGUGAGAUGCACAAUCAAACCUCUCUAUUGAGGACGAGAUUAUUGAUGGUUAUACGGCUGAAUACGUUGCCUAGAUAUCAAUAAUCUCAGAAUUAUUUAUUAUGAUCUGAUGAGUUGCACGCUGUGAGAGUGUAAGUUGGAAAUCAUCACUAGAUAACGAGUGGUAUCGAAGGCGUAGGAUCGUAUAUGGAGAUAUAUACGUGGGUAUAUGCUUAGUACCUACCUUGACUAGUGGUUGUUUAAAUAAUAACUACUUCUGACGGUCUCUUUACAAAUGCAUGCGAAUUUGUAAUUGUACAGUCACUCAUGAACGGCAGGUAAUAUUUCAGACGUCAACGACGCCGUCAGUAGCAGCAGGCGACGCGGAAAUAAUCUAUAGCAAAUACAUUUGCUGUAACAACAGGUUUACGACUUGUCACACGCAGAAAAGAAUCUGCUGUUACUUUGUCAUAGUCGUUGCAGAUAAAAGCAGGUGAAAUGAAGGCUGUCACAUUCUGUUGGUUUUGGAGUGUCUUGAUUCUGCUGGACACUACGACCUGUAGCAAUGGUGAGAAGAAAGAUGGAAGUACGAUAGCACCACCGGGACAUAAUCUGCCCUUUGGAUCACAUACCACUCCCUUUGAAGUACCUGUUGUCGACAAGUUUCCAACGCCAAAUGUGUUCUUUGAGGAAUACAUGCAUAAAAGUAGGCCUUUGGUGAUACGGUCGAUUUUGAACUUGACAACAUUUCCUGCAGUUGUGAAAUGGACGGACGACUUCUUCAGGAAGGAGGUGGGGGAGGAGUACAUCGACGCAGAGCCGGCCCGGAAGGAGAACCGGAACCUGACUCCCGAACAGAUGACGAUGCGGUCCUUCCUGCAGCAAUACGCCGAAAGGGAGCUCUACCUCGUCAGCGGCAUCGAGGUGUUCCGGGCCAAGGACAAGCUCAUGGAUGACCUGUAUGUGCCCCGGUCACUGCACUGUGGGGGACUCCAGUUCCUCAUCGAGUCUCUGGUCAUGUGGUUCAGCAGCGGCGGCACCAAGUCCGUCCUCCACAACGACGACUACGAGAACUUCAACUGCGUCCUGGACGGGACCAAGGAGCUGGUAUUCGUAGACACGAAACACCGCGAGCAGGUACAAGCGGAUGGUUACCAUGAGGACGGUAGCUAUAGUGACGUGGAUGUUGACAAAGUUGACAUGCACAAGUUCCCGCGUCUAGGGGAGGUGCCCGUCUACAAGGCUGUGUUGCAUAAGGGGGACUGCCUCUACAUACCCUACCAGUGGUACCAUCAAGUCAACUCCCCCGGGGGCCGGAGCCUCGCCAUCAACUUCUGGUUCCUGCCCACCCGCUGGUUCAACACCUCCGACUGUCAGGACAAGAACCUCCAACACCAAACACAACCGAGUUCAAAGUUCGACAUCGGACAGAACCAAAUGCAGGCCUGGAACAAAUUCACAUGGUCCUUUCAAGAGAAUGAAACGUCUAAAGCCAAAUACAAAGAAGCAAUUUCAACAAAUUUUCCCAAGUCUCAAUUUCUUCAAGAUGAGGUACUGUAUGACACCACCCACUUCAGCCACAUUGCUCCACCCAUGUUGACUCACUGUACGGCUCCACCCACUUUGCCUAACGUCAGGCAAUGUAUGACACCACCCACUUCAGCCACAUGACUCCACCCACAUCAACUCCCUGCAUGACUCCACCCACUUUGCCUAACGUCAGGCACUGUAUGACACCACCCACUUCAGCCACAUCACUCCACCCACAUCGACUCGCUGCAUGACUCCAUCCACGUUGUGGUGGUGAAAUGGGGUUAAACGUCGCGUCCAAGAUUAUUGCACUUAUAUAGCAACGUUCCACCCACGUUGACUCACUUCAAUCACUUUAUUCAAGGACCUUGACAAAGACGGCAGCUUGUCGCUGUCGCUGGAGGAAUUGUACAAUGUGGACAUCAACAAGAUUCUGCAGAAGUAUUCAAGCCUUGAUGCAGCACUAACUGCAGAGGACAUUACACAUGAUGAAC